GGCAUCGCAUGGUGCCGCAUGGUUGUCUUUAAAUACCGACGGCGAGCAUGCCUUCUAUUCAGUGCGCUCAUGACGGCAGACGCUACUGAAUGUGGGGCAUAAUAAAUGAUCCUGUGGGCGCAUUUAAUAAGAUCGUAGUAUCUCAUCAUUGUGUACAGCUAGCAGAUUAGGAUAUGGUGUCUGAGUGAUAUGACCUUGAUGUGGCCUGUCAGAGUCGUAUGAUGACAAUGUUCGAUGCUCAGUUAGUUGGCAGAGGUCCGCAUUAUCGGAGUCAGCA
rnacentral:lncRNA from 1 species